CUUGAUGGACCCGAGCAGGAACGGCCGGUCCUCCGGGCGCUCCUGACCAUACGUCGCGAUGAGCGCCUGCGCCUC
rnacentral:antisense_RNA from 1 species